CAUGGACACAAGUGCUGAGAAAUGGGCUUGAUCGUAGGCCAAGACCAGGGGUGAGCAGUGACACCUAUUUGGUGGGACUUCAAGAGGUCAUGCACAUUUGGUUCCCCUUGGCCCCUUAAAGGAGGACUACACUGAUGACAAAGACUGUGUACUGAAUAAAACAAGUGUGCUUACCUUCUCCCCCUGAGUCCCGGAGCAUUGUAUCUGCAACUACAACAAUUGGUCUUCUCAAAAUAUGGGCCAGUACAAACACAUGGAAUUCCUCCAGACUCUCAUACACUGGGUCUUCUGCAUUGUCAACUCUGGAAGACAAAAGGAGUUUCCUUAUUUAUUUAAUUAAUUAAUUACAAACAAUUCAUACAUCAAAAUAUAUAAAAAACAUCUUCAAAAUGUUGACUGAUUACCGUAUUGUUGCAAUUUGUGGUGUAGUUAUAUAAGCCAACAGUGCAACUAGAACAUUAAACUGGAUACCUAUAAAAUA